ACUACGGUGCUGAAGUAACAAAUGCCCUGCUUCCAGGAAAAGCCUCUAAGCAUCAGGUAACAUAAAUCGUACCCCAAACCGACACAGGUGGUCAGGUAGAGAAUACCAAGGCGCUUGAGAGAACUCGGGUGAAGGAACUAGGCAAAAUGGUGCCGUAACUUCGGGAGAAGGCACGCUGGUGUGUAGGUGAAGUCCCUGCGGAUGGAGCUGAGACCAGUCGAAGAUACCAGCUGGCUGCAACUGUUUAUUAAAAACACAGCACUGUGCAAACACGAAAGUGG
rnacentral:rRNA from 1 species